UUUCUGGGACUGUCACUCAAAAAAGAGAACAAUCCCGGGAAAACCGGGACAAGUGGCAACCCUAGAGGAAGCACAAUUACUUACUAGUAGUGACAAGUAGUCUUAAAAUGGUGCCUUUGUUUUUAACCAUUAUCCAUUCAGUCACACACUAUUCCACAAUUCAGUUUCAUUUAGGAAAAAAAAAAAAAUCAAUUUCACAGUAAUGUGCUCAUAUGACAGCAGAUGGUCCACCUUAAUGUGAUCUAAAUAAAUACUGGGUUCUAAUGUUGAAUUGCCCAAUUCAUGUAUUUACCUUUUAUAGCCCAAUUUAGCAAUUACUUAUGUCUGGGUUUAGAUUAGACUUGGUUGCUGACCUAGAUAUUCAUGCAAGGCAUGUAAAGAUAAGAAUCUCUGUUGGACUGAAUACAUUAUUCUAAUGAGCGGGAGGCUCGAGCCUCCAGGUGAGCAGCUGGGAACCUACCGGAAACAGAAGGAGGAACAGAGGCAGGCGUGAGCAGAACUCUGCCAAAUUUGACAAAAUGUGUCGGUAGUCCUGAAGAAUCAGUUGGAGACCGAAAGGGGAGAAUUUGAUUCCACUUAAAGUGGUAUAUAUGAGUCACGAAUGGAUCCUAAUUCAAACCUAAUCAAGAAAGGAUUGUUUUACUUUUUACUGGUCUGUGUUUGUCUGAUACAUAAAGUGAGUAUUUUGUGGGCUGUUGAAAGAGUGAAUUUAACUCACCAGAAUGAUCUUGAAAACGGGAGCAGCGGGAUAAUGCUGGCGAAAUGGGAGACCCGUUCCCAAGCCGAACAGCAAGUCCAGUUAAACAACACAUCCGUAGAGCCGAGUGAAGCAUGGGCUGUCCGCAGAUCAAGGGGUAGGGGCCACUUCUAUGGUUAAAGCUAGCAAUAUAUCUAUGUCUAUAUCUAUUGAUAUUUCUGCAUACACAACUAAACGAC